AGAUCGGUCUGUCGCUGCUUAAGGGGUAAAAGCCUUGAGGAGAGGAAAGUCCGGGCAACACAGAGCACCAUGCUUCCUAACGGGAAGGCACCGAGUAUCCCCCUAUGGGUAUGCGAGGUGUAGUAGCGUAACAGAGAAUAACCGCUUAUCGGGGUUCUUUAGAACCUAUUUCGAUGAGUAAGGGUGAAAAGGUGAGGUAAGAGCUCACCGGGGUGGAUGGUGACAUUCGCUGCCGUACGUCUCAUGGGUUGUAAGAUCAAGUACACCGGCAUAUAGGAGUUGCUCGCGCCUUGCCGGGGGGUAGAUUGCUAGAGCCAUGCGGCAACGUAUGGCGUAGAUUAAUGGCAGACGCUCGGUAGCUUUUCUCUCGUAGAGAGGCUACAGAGUACAGAACCCGGCUUAUAGGUCUA
rnacentral:RNase_P_RNA from 1 species